rnacentral:rRNA from 1 species
GUCCGCACUGUAAACGAUGAUUACUCGCUGUUGGAUGGUAACAUUCAGUGGCUUAGCGAAAGCGAUAAGUAAUCCACCUGGGGAGUACGCCGGCAACGGUGAAACUCAAAGGAAUUGACGGGGGCCCGCACAAGCGGAGGAGCAUGUGGUUUAAUUCGAUGAUACGCGAGGAACCUUACCAGGGCUUGAAAGUUAGGGAAUAACUCUGAAAGGAGUUAGUGAGCAAUCACCCGAAACUAGGUGCUGCAUGGCUGUCGU